CCCUGGGGGGUUCGGUGGAAGGCUGGUAAAAACCGUUGGUUUUCGACCACUACGACCCGGGUUCGAUUCCCGCAUUGGGCA